UCGUAACAAGGUUUCCGUAGGUGAACCUGCGGAAGGAUCAUUACCGAGCGAGAAUUCUCUGAAUUCAACCUCCCACCCGUGUUUAUUGUACCUUGUUGCUUCGGCGGGCCCGCCUCACGGCCGCCGGGGGGCAUCUGCCCCCGGGCCCGCGCCCGCCGAAGACACCUUGAACUCUGUAUGAAAAUUGCAGUCUGAGUCUAAAUAUAAAUUAUUUAAAACUUUCAACAACGGAUCUCUUGGUUCCGGCAUCGAUGAAGAACGCAGCGAAAUGCGAUACGUAAUGUGAAUUGCAGAAUUCAGUGAAUCAUCGAGUCUUUGAACGCACAUUGCGCCCCCUGGUAUUCCGGGGGGCAUGCCUGUCCGAGCGUCAUUGCUGCCCUCAAGCCCGGCUUGUGUGUUGGGUCUCGUCCCCCUUCCCGGGGGGACGGGCCCGAAAGGCAGCGGCGGCACCGCGUCCGGUCCUCGAGCGUAUGGGGCUUUGUCACCCGCUCUGUAGGCCCGGCCGGCGCUUGCCGAUCAACCAAAACUUUUUUCCAGGUUGACCUCGGAUCAGGUAGGGAUACCCGCUGAACUUAAGCAUAUCAAUAA
rnacentral:misc_RNA from 2 species